rnacentral:lncRNA from 1 species
UUGGGAGUCCUGUGAUCCCUUCUGUAUCUUUUAAGAAGUUAUUUUAUGUCUUAUAAUUGCCUCCAGCAUACUCACCAAUCUUGUCUAAGCUGAGCCUUCGGAUACAGAAGCUGAUUUGGAGGUGAUGGAUCAGAACUCCUUGGUUAAUUGUGAUGGUUGAGCUUCACAAUCAGCUUGACUGCGUCUGAAGCCAUAAAAAACGCAGCUCCGUGGUUCUCAAUGAAUAACAUGAGGGUGGAUUAAAAAGAAAGAACCAGUAUUCUUGAAUCUUUGGUGAACUCCAUUGAAAAAAAUCUUUGUGGAUUUGAACCUGCCAGGGAGUCUUCCCAGGACCAGUCCAGGCCUGCCUUCUGAGUAUCAAGAACAUUUUGCAUUGUACUGUCAGGUCUUCAUGAGAUGCUAA